GAUGAGUAAAAAUUUGAAAAAUGGCUUUAGUGGAGUUUUCAAGCUAUGGCACAAAGUGAUUCGGAGUUUGGAUGAGUUUUUUUUUUCUUCUGGUGUUUCUUCUUUUGUUUCUUAUUCUCUAGAUGAUGAAUGGAAUGCUGAAUUUAUAGAGAAUUAGCUAAACCAAGUUGGAUAAAGAGUUGGCAUUGUUCAAUGGAUAUUGAUCAAAAACCAAAAAGCUGGUGAAAGGUAAAAGUAGCCUUUUUCUCUAGCAUGGCUGCAAGUUGACAUUUCUAAGUUUC
rnacentral:lncRNA from 1 species